GCCUGGGUGGCUCAGCGGUUGAGCAUCUGCCUUUGGUUCAGGACGUGAUCCUGGAGUCCCGGGAUCGAGUCCCACCUCAGGCU
rnacentral:tRNA from 1 species